AAGAGAAAAAGUGUGGAAAUCAAGGGAAAUAAGUGAAAAAGGCAACGGCUAAUGCACGGCACACCACGGCACCAUUAGUCCACCAAACACCAGUCACCAGAUCUUUCUUCUUCACCAGAUCUUUCUUCUCUUUUUCAAUUUCUUUUUUCCCUUUCACUUCAGCAACUUUAGAUUGGGAGUGUUGAGCUGGUUUCUUCAGCAGCUUUGUCCAUUUUCACUGAAACAGAGGUGGGCUUUCUUGGAGAGUCAAGGGAGGGAUAUCAUAGGGUGUGGUUGGGGUGGGACGUAAGGUGGACAUUCUGGAAGGAGGACCGGGCUUUGAUGCUGAGUGCGGUUGUGGCUCUCUAUCAGGAGCUGCGACUUUUGGUUGUUGAAUGGUUUUAGGCAUUUGAAAUAUUGAGAUUACAUUUACUUUUGGAAUGGGCGAGUUUGUUUAUGGGAUCUGUACAGGGAAUGCUUGUUCUUAUGCACGCAACGGUCUAUUCUAUUUUGUUAAAAUAUUGAUGCUUUAGCCAUUUUUGGAGUACCCAUUUGAUGCAUUUGGAGUAAAUCUUUUUGCUUCUUGUUUUGAUC